rnacentral:lncRNA from 1 species
GUGCGACAACGAUGACAGUAGAGGCACGAUGUCAACAACAGUGACAUAAAGGUGUAGUGAUUGUUGAAGUUAGAGGAGGUGGAAGAAAAAGAGGAGGAUGAUGAUGAGUUAUAGGUGAAGACGAUUGAUGUGUCAAUGAUGACAAUGAUGAUGGAGACGUGACAAGAAGGAGAUGAGGAUAUAGAAAAAGAAAACAAAGAAAACAAAGAGGAAAAGGAAGAUAAAAAGAAGACAAUAGGAAUUUUUAUCAAUGGAUUUUAUUAACAAUCAGAAUUAAUCAGUAAUUAUCGAUAAAUUUUUAUGGAUAUAUUUGUGGACAAUGGUAAUUAUCGAUGGAUUGCAAAAUUCGUCAAUAAAACUUAUUAACAACCACUUAAUGAUCAAAUUAAAUCACCGAUGAAGUUUUGUUAUCACACAAAUUUCUUGUG